rnacentral:rRNA from 1 species
UACGAAGGUGGCAAGCGUUACUCGGAAUUACUAGGCGUAAAGGGCAGGUAGGUGGUCUGACAAGUCUGUUGUGGAAGCUCCCGGCUUAACUGGGAGAGGUCAACGGAAACUGUCAGGCUUGAGUGUGGGAGAGGAUAUUGGAAUUCCCGGUGUAGCGGUGAAAUGCGCAGAGAUCGGGAGGAACACCUGUGGCGAAAGC